GGAGGUUCCUGCCCCCAGACGGGCUUAGCCAGGAAGGGAAGUGAUACUGCUGUCUGUGGUAGGCUGCAGAGUUUUAGCAUGCCGGGAAGAGGAGAGAAACAGACAAGUGAAAAAGAGUAGAGACCACACUUCCAGCUAUGGAUCACUGGCAGAAGGAACCUUUCUUGGCCAGUUCAAAUGAAAACUCUCCACCACUGACAUUUGGUCAGUGCUUCAGUCCCACCCUGGGCACAGCGGGCCACCCAUGUCACCCUCAGACAGGAAGGAUACCCUGCUCAACAGACAUCUGACCACCUCGGGGCAGUCCUAUCCCUCCAGCCACUUUGGUCAUGGAGACUCCCGCAAGCGCUGUGCCCCAUCCUUCAGUCCGUUCAGCCAGUGAACCCCAGGCUCCAGGAGGAACCAGGAGCUUCUUUCUGAGCCCCCAGGAGUUUAUAAGAACAAGAAGGAAGGCAGAAGGUAGCCAUGAGUCCCACGUUCUGUGUUCUUCCAGCUUGCUGUCCUCUGAAUCCCAGAUCUCUCUGUGGCAGAGACAAGGCUGGACCUGUCUGUCUGAAUAAUAUCCAGGAGGAUCCAUGCCUGAGGCUCAUCCCAGUGACAGCAUCAGAACCUCCUCUAUUGCCAAGGCCCCGUCUCUAACCACUAGAACGGUAUUAAGUGGCCUCCCGCUUUGUGCUUCACAGUUGGGGGUUAAUCUCCCCCCAGGAAGCCUGGGAACAUACCCUAGCCUUGGUGGCUGGUCACUUUACUGGCCACUAAUGUUCAGUUCUGUCUCUCCUAUGCCUUUUCACUGCACCACUUGGAAUUUUGAAACACAUAUAAAAAGCAAAUAAACAAAGCAAAAAGAGACACAAACCAGCCCACCACACAGGAAGCUGGGAACUGCUGAGUAAUCAUGGAGACCACAGGGGUGUUUCCAGGGAGCUGAGCAGAUGGCCGUGGGUGGCUGGGUGGCCAGGCAACAACACUUCCUGCCUGCUCCACAGAGGCACUAGGUCACCUGGGGACACUGUCUGGGUGUGUCUCUCCUGGGCCAGUCCGGUCUUGUACUCUUGCUUGUCCAGGAUCCAGGACUUCUGGUGUACAGAGGGGCAGAAGGGAGGUGUUUGUGGUUGGAAGUGGCCAUCACUGCCUCCAUCAAGGCCAGAUGGUCACAACGAUAAGAAGGUGCCUGUGACCCCAUGGAAUUCACACAGUUCAAGCCUGCUCUGCGCCCUGAGGCAGCUAGGGCCUUCAGUAUGCAGCCUCCUGUGACAGACAGCCCAGGAGAACAAGCAGCUGCCGCCUCUGCCUGCAGAGCUGUUACCUUCUGGGCUAACGCUGGGUGGGGUUUCAUGUGCUUCACUGAUGCACAAGCCAUAGAGACAGAGAAAAAGCGGGCCUAGUGCUAGCCAUGGCCAAGGAAUGAACCUCUCAGGAAAAGCUGGGCCUUUGUUUGGAGACAGCCACACCCUCCUGAGGGAAGAAUGAUGACCCCAGACUAGGUGGAGACCCAGCAGGAAGUGGGUGAGCUCUGUCAGGGUUAAAAAGUUUGUGGCUGCAUUGCAAUGGACCACACAGAGUAACAAGCCGUUUGGGGAGCAGCAAGGAGAGUUGUCUUUUCUCUGACAUGAACCACAGCAUGGGACUGUCAUGUGACGGAGAUACCACUGUGAGAGUCAUCAGUGACAUCAGUGAAAACACAGGGCACAUUAGUCUCCUGGGCUACUCUAGUUUAUGAGAGUAGUGAUGUCAAUUACUAGGAUCAAUUCAGUCAGUGAUGUGGGAUCAAGACAGUGCAGAAAUCAUGUUCCCCCAGGUGAAUCCUAGGUAGCUU